UCACAUGGCACCUCCUACACAACCAUCACCGGGGGCAAGCAACCAAGAUGCAUCUAGUGGUGAUAAGAAAUGGCGGACAUCGGUGACCUACAAAAAAACGAGGAAGCCAAGACCACAAGCCACAAGGCCAAAAGAGGAGCCUAAACCCGCCCCUCGAACUUCAGUCUUCGAAAGACUGAAUUAUUCAAAACCUAGAAUUGCAGCACUUGAUCGCAUCAGUGGUCGAGACCAAACUUCUGUCUUCAAAAGGCUUGAGACGCCAACACCUC
rnacentral:lncRNA from 1 species